rnacentral:rRNA from 1 species
CCUACGGGAGGCAGCAGUGAGGAAUAUUGGUCAAUGGACGAGAGUCUGAACCAGCCAAGUAGCGUGAAGGAUGACUGCCCUAUGGGUUGUAAACUUCUUUUAUAUGGGAAUAAAAUGUUCCACGUGUGGGAUUUUGUAUGUACCAUAUGAAUAAGGAUCGGCUAACUCCGUGCCAGCAGCCGCGGUAAUACGGAGGAUCCGAGCGUUAUCCGGAUUUAUUGGGUUUAAAGGGAGCGUAGAUGGGUUGUUAAGUCAGUUGUGAAAGUUUGCGGCUCAACCGUAAAAUUGCAGUUGAGACUGGCAGUCUUGAGUACAGUAGAGGUGGGCGGAAUUCGUGGUGUAGCGGUGAAAUGCUUAGAUAUCACGAAGAACUCCGAUUGCGAAGGCAGUUCACUGGACUGCAACUGACACUGAGGCUCGAAAGUGUGGGUAUCAAACAGGAUUAGAUACCCUGGCAGUC